GCCUGGGUGGCUCAGUGGUUGAGCAACUGCCUUCAGCUCAGAUCAUGAUCCUGGGGUCCUGGGAUCAAGUCCCACAUCAGGCU
rnacentral:tRNA from 1 species